rnacentral:rRNA from 1 species
GGUGAGUAACACGUGGAUAACCUACCUAUAAGACUGGGAUAACUUCGGUAAACCGGAGCUAAUACCGGAUAAUAUUUUGAACCGCAUGGUUCAAAAGUGAAAGGCGGUCUUGCUGUCACUUAUAGAUGGAUCCGCGCUGCAUUAGCUAGUUGGUAAGGUAACGGCUUACCAAGGCAACGAUGCAUAGCCGACCUGAGAGGGUGAUCGGCCACACUGGAACUGAGACACGGUCCAG